GCCUUACACAUGCAAGUCGAACGGUAGAGUAGCAAUACUUGAGAGUGGCGAACGGGUGAGUAAUAUAUCGGAACGUGCCCAACUGUGGGGGAUAACGUAGAGAAAUUUACGCUAAUACCGCAUACGAUCUAAGGAUGAAAGCGGGGGAUCGCAAGACCUCGCGCAGUUGGAGCGGCUGAUAUCAGAUUAGCUUGUUGGUGAGGUAAAAGCUCACCAAGGCGACGAUCUGUAGCUGGUUUGAGAGAACGACCAGCCACACUGGGACUGAGACACGGCCCAGACUCCUACGGGAGGCAGCAGUGGGGAAUUUUGGACAAUGGGCGAAAGCCUGAUCCAGCAAUGCCGCGUGCAGGAAGAAGGCCUUCGGGUUGUAAACUGCUUUUGUACGGAACGAAACGGUCCGCUUUAAUACAGUGGGCUAAUGACGGUACCGUAAGAAUAAGCACCGGCUAACUACGUGCCAGCAGCCGCGGUAAUACGUAGGGUGCGAGCGUUAAUCGGAAUUACUGGGCGUAAAGCGUGCGCAGGCGGUUAUAUAAGACAGUUGUGAAAUCCCCGGGCUCAACCUGGGAAUUGCAUCUGUGACUGUAUAGCUAGAGUACGGUAGAGGGGGAUGGAAUUCCGCGUGUAGCAGUGAAAUGCGUAGAUAUGCGGAGGAACACCGAUGGCGAAGGCAAUCCCCUGGACCUGUACUGACGCUCAUGCACGAAAGCGUGGGGAGCAAACAGG
rnacentral:rRNA from 1 species